rnacentral:rRNA from 1 species
GACGAAGGGGGCAAGCGUUGUUCGGAAUUACUGGGCGUAAAGGGCGCGUAGGCGGUUCUUUAAGUCAGGCGUGAAAGCCCUGGGCUCAACCUGGGAGUGGCGCUUGAUACUGGAGGACUAGAGAGUGGGAGAGGUUGGUGGAAUUCCCAGUGUAUAGGUGAAAUUCGUAGAUAUUGGGAAGAACACCGGUGGCGAAGGCGGCCAACUGGACCAUUUCUGACGCUGAGGCGCGAAAGCGUGGGGAGCAAACAGG